CCCUUAGAUGUUCUGGGCCGCACGCGUGCUACACUGAGUGGAUCAGCGGGUCAGGUUACGCGAGAGCGUUUCCUAAUCUUCAAAUCCGCUCGUGAUGGGGAUUGACGGUUGCAAUUUUCCGUCAUGAACGAGGAAUACCUUGUAAGCGCGGGUCAUCAUCCCGCGCUGAAUACGUCCCUGCCCUUUGUACACACCGCCCGUCGCCCCUACCGAUUGAGUGGUCCGGUGAGGCUUUGGGAUCUAAGCGAAAAGAGCGUUUCGCUCCUUUUGCUGGGAGAACUCGGUCGAACCUUAUCAUUUAGAGGAAGGAGAAGUCGUAACA
rnacentral:rRNA from 1 species